rnacentral:lncRNA from 10 species
GUGCAUUUGAGCUAAAGCAAGGGAAGCAUUUCCCCUUCCCCUGGCUGAAAGCUCAGCUGACCCCGAGGCUCUUCUGGUCAUGCUUAGAGUGGGCCCUACAUCCAAUGACUGGUGUUCUCAUAAGGAGAGAGAGACAAAGAGUAGACAGACACAAGGGAGAAGGCCGUGUGAAGAUGGAGACAGAGAUUGGAAUGAUACAGCCACAAGCCAAGAAACAUCUGCGGCCGUCAGAAGUUGGAAGAGCAGCCCUGUGGAUCUAAUAUAGUCAUAAGAGACAUUGUGACCUCCUCCCUGCUCUCUUGAACCACUCAUUCUGGGAGAAGUCAGCUGCCAUGUCAUGAAGCUACUCAGGGAGGUCCAUGGAGAGGUCCACAUGGCAAGGAACUGAGGCCUCCUGCCAGUAGCCAGCACCAUCUUGCUGGCCAUGUGAGCGUGCCAUCUUAGAUGCAGAUCAUACGGCCCCAGUCAAGCCUUCAAAUGACUGCAUCCCUACUUGACAUUUUGACUGUAACCUCAUGACAAACCCUAAGCCAGAACACCAGCUAAGCCACUCCCCAAUUCCUCAUCAAGAGAAACUGAGAUAAUAAAUGUUUAUUAUUGUUUUAAGCUACUAAAUUUUGAGGUAAUCUGUUAUGUAGCAAUAGAUAACUAAUACUGAUAUCUGUCAUAUUGGGGCCUCAGUGUAACUUGGAACAGAAAGAGUUCCAUAUUAU